rnacentral:rRNA from 1 species
CGGGGUGCACCAGGCGCGAAAACUCUACAAUGCAGGCAACUGCGAUAGGGGAACAUCGAGUGAUCCUCAUAUUGGGGGUCUGUCCACCCGUCUAAAAAACGGGUGUUAGCAAGGGCCGGGCAAGACCGGUGCCAGCCGCCGCGGUAAUACCGGCGGCUCGAGUGGUGGCCGAUAUUAUUGAGUCUAAAGGGUCCGUAGCCGGCUUUGCAAGUCUCUCGGGAAAUCCAGCGGCUUAACCGUUGGUCGUCCGGGGGGUACUACAUUGCUUGGGACUGGGAGAGGUAGGAGGUACUCAGGGGGUAGGAGUGAAAUCCUGUAAUCCUUUGGGGACCACCGGUGGCGAAGGCGUCCUACCAGAACAGGUCCGACGGUGAGGGACGAAAGCUAGGGGCACGAACCGGAUUAGAUACCCGGGUAGUCCUAGCCGUAAACGAUGCUCGCUAGGUGUCACAACAGUCGUGAACUGUUGUGGUGCCGUAGGGAAGCCGUGAAGCGAGCCACUUGGGAAGUACGACCGCAAGGUUGAAACUUAAAGGAAUUGGCG